ACCGAGGUUUGGAAGCUCCAGCUCCGAGCCGGGGAUCGGCCCCAAAGGCUUCUCAGCUCUUGCCCGGUAGGCCUUUGGCUCCUGCCCGGGGCCGGGGCCUCCGGCUGUGGAAGUGCAAGGACCAGCUCAGUGGCGUGGGGGCUGUUCCCCGGGCUGAGAGCCUCAGGCUGUAAAUACCAGCUUCUCCUGGUGAAGUCGGCAAAAUGGAGCGUCAGUGCUGAGGGCACUUCCGUCUCCUCCCUCAGUGUUUCUGCCGCAGACGAGCAGACACGCACCGACGUGGCCUUCAAUCUACGAGGACUGCAGGCUGGUGGAGAAGAGGAUCGAGGACUUCACUGAGUCACUCUUCAUCUUGCUCAAGUACAAGUGGCUGUAUAGGGCCCCCAACAAGUCUGGGGACAAGAUCCCCCUCCUCUGCACCUUGUUUGAGAAGGAGUUCUUCAUGGGACUGGACACAGACAGCAGUACGUUUUGGUUACUGAGACCCUCGAAUUCCCAUAUGAAUUGUAGCAGCAGCUAGUCAGUUUCUGCAGAGGAGGCCGCUGAGAUUGUGAUCGAGACCACGUUGAAUGCACAGAUCGCUCUGGGGAGCACUGCCAUCCCAAGAGCGCUGUCUUCUGAUCCAUGAAUGUGCGUGGUGUGUCUGUCCAGGGGAAGAGUACAAUUCAACAGUAUAAAGAUUGAUUGUGAGCUAAUGAGAUAGACAAGACAACCGAACAUUUGUUAAAUAUCCUUUCAUGCUGGAAACAAAUGUAUUAUACACACAAAAAGCACACAAACCACGGUAGUACCGUGAUUACAAACGUGGGUCCGAGUUCAAGUCCUGCUCUGGAGUGACCAGUCCUGUGAGACGGAGAACUGUUCUACCCUCUCAUCUGUUGGUGUGACUUUUCAUGGAAUCCAGGAAACAGCCCUAAGCCACCUGCCUCUUCACUCUUCUCCGUGGUGGUUUUCUUCCCUGACUAGAAGAGGGUUUUGCAUAGGAAAUUUUCUUUGUUCCCCUUUUCUUGGAGUCUCUCUUUCUGUCUGCCCAUCUCUCACCUGUCCAUCUGUCCAUUUCUCUACCCACUCAUUCUUCUGACUUGUUCCAAGGAGCACUUCAGGAAGCUUACAGAAGAACAGAUACCAAAUAAACAGGUGCCCUCACCUACAGUGGCAUCCAUCCAGACACCAGCACUGACACUGUCCGUGCUCAGAACUGCCUCAGCCCUGAAGACACAACUGACAAAUAGAAGGGGGCCAUGUCCUGUUACAGCAGGUGCUCUCAUUUGUGGAUUCUUAUGUAACUGUGCGGUGUUAAUCAGGAUCGCCCGUUCUACACUGUGUGACGCUGCUGCCGUGCCUCCUAGUUACUUGUUUCUGAUCUGAGGAGCAGGAGCAAGGAACGCAGGGAGAGAUCCAGGAAGACAUCUGACUGUGUUAAGAGAUGAAAAUCACAGCGACACAGGAAGUGAGGACAUUUGCAGCAAAGUAAAAUGACUUCACAACUAUUGCAUCAGAGCUGCCGGUGUGAGAGAGCCUAAGCCUGUCUCAGAGUGCAGGGGACAAGCGGAAAGGAAUGUGUAAGAAUGCUGGUGACUCAGUUAUAAGCAUGCUUUGAAGCUGUCCAUGUCCUCGCCAUUGAGAAGCGGAGCCUGGAAUCUUCCAAAUUUCUCCAGAAUGCGGUCUACAUUCACCUUCAGCAGUAAGGAUGUGAGCAGAAGAGAAAACCCCCUGCUUCACAGUUGAAGCUGUUGUUUUGUGCGAAACUGACCAAAGGUUGGAAACCAGCCGUCAGCGGUGCUGGCAAAUGAAGACUUCGGGAUUGGGUGGAUCACUUGCUGUGACUUCCAGCAUUCCUAGGAGAGAAUUCAGCAGUGCAGCAUCCUCUCCGAGCUCUAUGAGUUGAUCGGCUUCCACCGCAAGUCCGCCUUCUUCAAGCGGGUGGCCCCCGUGCAGCGAGCGGCCCCCGGCAUCCCGGAGCCUGGCGGGAAGGCCUGCUACCGACUCCUUCUGCAGACGCUUCCUGGCUACAGUCUGUCGCUGGAUCUGCAGGACUUCAGCAAAGGUGUUGGAACUAAAACAUUGCUUCAGUCCCAUUAACCAUGCCUGGUUUGGGCCCUGCUGUCCUGUCUCAUCAGGGUGAAUUCUGAUUCAUUUAGAACAGGGCUCAGCAGACUUUUUCUGUCAAGGGCUUGGGAGUAAGUAUUUCAGGGUCUGCAAACCUCCUGAUCUCUGGUGCAGCUGCUCAGCUCUGCUGUUCAGACGCCAGAGCAGCCGGACAUUCCACACACCCACAGAGCUUUAUUAACAGCUGUGUCUGGGGCUGGAUUCGGUGUAUGAACUGCAGUUUGUCCCCACAGCCUCCUCACUAUUGACGCCUGCACCAGAGCGUGCAUUUGCGACAAUGGGUGAACCUGCACUGACACGUCAUCAUCACCCAGAGCCCAGACUUGACACUAGGAUUUACACUUGGUGGUGUGCACUCUGUGGGUUUGGACAGAUGUGCAAUGACAUGUAUCCACCGUCAUAGCAUCAUACAGAGUAGUCUGUCUUAGUGACCUUAAAAUGCUCCGUGCUGCACCUCAUUCAUUGCUCCUUCCCCUCUAGCCUCUGACAGCCACUGAUCUUUUAGUCUCUGUGGUUUUCCCUUUCCCAGAACACCAUACAGUUGGAAUCAGACAGUUGCGGAACCUUCCCAGAUUGGCUUCUUUCACUUAGUAAUAAGCAUUUAAGGUUCCUCCAUGUCUUUCCAUGCCUUGAUAACUCAUUUCAUUUUAGCACCAAAUAAUAGUCCAUUUUCUGGCUGGACCACAGUUUAUCCAUUCACCUACUGAAGAACAGCUUAAUUGCUUCUGAGUUCUGAUGAUUAUGAAUAAAGCUGCUAUUAACAUCUGUAUGCAGAUUUGUGUGUGGACAUAAGUUUCCAUUUCGUCGAGUAAACACCAAGGAGCACAGUUGCCGGAUCAUAUAUUAGGAGUACGUUUAGUUUUGUAAAAAAUUGCCAUACAGUCUUCCAAAGUAUCUGGGCCAUUUUACAUUCCCACCAGCAAUGCAUGAGAAUUCCUGACGCUCCACAUCCUCACCAGCAUUCGGUGCUGUCAGUGUUCUGCAUUUUGGCAGUUCUGACAGGUGUGCAGUGGUACCUCGCUGUUUCAGUCUGCAUCCCCUUGAUGACAGAUGCUGUGGAGCAUCUUUCCAUAGACUUCUUUGGCAUCUAGAUUUCUUCUUUGAUGAGGUGUGUGUUCAGGCACUUUGCUCAUUUUUUAAUCAGGUUUUUCAUCCUUCUUGUUGAGUUUAAAGAGAUUUUGGUAUAUUCUGGAUAUCAGCCCUUUAUCAGUGUGUCCCUGCCCUUCACCUGCAGCACCGGAGUUGUCCUUUGGGUCUCAGUGGAGUGUCAGCUCUUCAAAGAGGUUCCCUGUCUUCCCUCAGCCUAAAUACUGUCCUUGUAUUUUUCACUUUCAUUGACUCAUUUUGUUCUUUUUAAAUAGCAUUCCCCAUAAUUUGUAAGUACAUUAAAAAAAAAGAAGGGCAAUGAUUGAACACCACCUCCCCCACCAGGCCGUGUGCCCUGUGAGAGCAGAGGCCCUGUCCCCACUCACCGUUUCCCAUGACAGCACAUGGCACAUGUCCAUGUAAAAGUGUGUAACGUGGGGCCAAACCUGAUGAGCAGCUAUGAUGACAUAUUUUGGCUACCAUUUAUUGAGUAGACUUUGUUUCUGAUGUUAAUUAUUAAAUCACAUGAAUGAAACUUGUUUGUUUUGAAAAAUAAAACAACAAAGCACACCUCCAUUUGAUUGGUACUUUCUACUUAGCCUUCUGACCCAGGAGGGGAUGUUCACCAUCAUUUUGUGGAGGAGGUUGGGGAGGUAAAGUAAGAGAGUGAGAUCAAAUAAAGUAAAAAUGAUAACUAUCA